GGGGAUGGAGAGUACCCGUGUUAAAUGUUUGAAUAAAUUGUAUUGAUUCUGCUGCCAUCAGGCUUAAAACAACGAGCAAUGAUUAUUUAACCUCAGCUAUGUUGAUUUUCUGGACUCCAGCAGCCUGAUAAAUUUCACCGCAGUUUUAAGAUAUGGUUGUGGGUCUAACAGUUGUGCAAAGCCUUAUUUUAUAUAUCUAGACCAAAACAAAUACAAGUUUUUUGGGGGAUAGAUGUAUAACCAACAAAGAAACUGAGCACAUUUCAUAAGAUUACAAAUAAUGCUUUGCUUUGCAGUCACUUUCGAAAGGAAAUAUUUCAGGGACUGAAUUCAAAGUCUCAAGUGUUCUCAAGCUGUUAUGACACAGCGAUGUUUUUAUUUCUUGUAUUGGCUGUUCACAAAGAGUUACGAGGCUGUGUACAAGCCACCGAGGACUGAGGUAAACUGUGUACAAGCCACCGAGGACUCGACUGCGGUGAACUGUGUACAAAUCACUGAGUACUGUGAUGAACUGUGUACAAAUCACUGAGGACUGUGGUGAGCUGUGUACAAAUCACUGAGGACUGUGGUGAACUGUGUACAAAUCACUAAGGACUGCGGCGAACUGUGUACAAAUCACUGAGGACUGUGAUGAACUGUUAACAAAUCACUGUGGACUGUGGUGAGCUGUGUACAAACCACCGAGGACUGUGGUGAACUGUGUACAAACCAUCAAGGACUGUGAUGAACUGUGUACAAAUCACUGAUGACUGUGAUGAACUGUGAACAAACCAAUGAGGCUUACCUUACAUCUCAUUACCAUAAUAUCUUAGGCAAGAUUCAACAGUGAAGUUCUGUUCGUUGCUAGAUGUCCGAGGACUCAUUUAGCGAUGAGGUCUACAGAGUAGGCUAUGGGUAUCUACUUAACAUCAUCUGCUGUCUCGGCGUGUUGGGUAACGUUCUGGUCCUCCUGGUGCUGUGCAAGAAGCGAGGCACGCGGACCAUGAAGACUGCUCGCCAUUAUCUUCUGAUGAUGACCGUAGCUGAUAUCUGCGUCUUGAUUCUAGCUGUUGCCAGAUACAGGUCAUACGCCAUAUUUCUCAAUGACCAUCAGCUGAUACGUCACGAGUUCUGUGUUGACCCUUACGUCCAGGUGUACGUGGAGCCUCUCUACUUGAUAGCUUUGGGCUCGUCUAGCUACGUCACUGUGCUACUGACACUGGACC
rnacentral:sRNA from 1 species